UCUCCGUUGGUGAACCAGCGGAGGGAUCAUUACAGAGUUGCGAAACUCCCUAAACCAUUUGUGAACCUACCCCCAAAACAGUUGCUUCGGCGGCGCCCUAGCCGGCCCGCCGGAGACCCCAAACUCUUGUGUUUUUUUCAGUAUUCUCUGAGUGGCAAACGCAAAAAUAAAUCAAAACUUUUAACAACGGAUCUCUUGGCUCUG
rnacentral:misc_RNA from 1 species